GGAGUGCAGUGGUGUGAUCUCGGUUCACUGCAACCUCAACCUCCUCGGCUCAAGUGGAUCCUCCCACCUCAGCUUCCUAAGUAGCUGAGACUACAGGAAAAAAUGACAAGCAAACCAGCUCGUUUAAAGGAUUCUAAAGAUUCCAAGUUAUGGUCCACAGUCAAUAUAUAUUCAGCCCCAACUCUGACAACUAUAUCUAAGGAAACAUCCAUUAAGGAAAGUACUUUGCAACCUACCAAGUAUCAUCACAAGAGCUAUGAAAGUGAAGAGAGACAUACGUUAUCUAAGAAUCUCAGAGAGAUGACUCAGUCAGCAUCCUCUCUUGGUGUACAAUGGUAGGGACAGCUACUGUGUCAUCUGGAGCAUGACAAUGAGAACACAGACACUGGAUCGUCCUGAUAUAGCCUGCAGUCCAUCUGGGCCUCUAGACAUUCAUUUGCAUUUGCAUUCAUGCGCAUCCCCUACUACUCCAACUCCUACACCUUUUGGCAGGAUAUAUCCACACAGCUGGAUUGGAAUCACAAGAUGUUUUUAUUUUUUG
rnacentral:lncRNA from 1 species